rnacentral:rRNA from 1 species
AGUGAACGCUGGCGGUAGGCCUAACACAUGCAAGUCGAACGGCAGCACAGAGGAGCUUGCUCCUUGGGUGGCGAGUGGCGGACGGGUGAGGAAUACAUCGGAAUCUACUCUGUCGUGGGGGAUAACGUAGGGAAACUUACGCUAAUAUCGCAUACGACCUACGGGUGAAAGCAGGGGAUCUUCGGACCUUGCGCGAUUGAAUGAGCCGAUGUCGGAUUAGCUAGUUGGCGGGGUAAAGGCCCACCAAGGCGACGAUCCGUAGCUGGUCUGAGAGGAUGAUCAGCCACACUGGAACUGAGACACGGGCCAGACUCCUACGGGAGGCAGCAGUGGGGAAUAUUGGACAAUGGGCGCAAGCCUGAUCCAGCCAUACCGCGUGGGUGAAGAAGGCCUUCGGGUUGUAAAGCCCUUUUGUUGGGAAAGAAAUCCAUCUGGUUAAUACCCGGGUGGGAUGACGGUACCCAAAGAAUAAGCACCGGCUAACUUCGUGCCAGCAGCCGCCGCAG